rnacentral:rRNA from 1 species
CAAUAAGCGGAGGAAAAGAAACCAACAGGGAUUGCCCCAGUAACGGCGAGUGAAGCGGCAAGAGCUCAAAUUUGAAAUCUGGCCUCCCCCGGGGGCCCGAGUUGUAAUUUGCAGAGGAUGCUUCGGGUGCGGCCGCCGUCUAAGUUCCUUGGAACAGGACGUCAGAGAGGGUGAGAAUCCCGUCUUGGGCGGGCGGUCCGCGCCCGUGUGAAGCUCCUUCGACGAGUCGAGUUGUUUGGGAAUGCAGCUCUAAGCGGGUGGUAAAUUUCAUCUAAAGCUAAAUAUUGGCCGGAGACCGAUAGCGCACAAGUAGAGUGAUCGAAAGGUUAAAAGCACCUUGAAAAGGGAGUUAAACAGCACGUGAAAUUGUUGAAAGGGAAGCGCUUGCGGCCAGACUCGGGGGCGGGGUUCAGCGGGUGCUCGUCGCCCGUGUAUUCCUCGUCUCCCGGGCCAGCAUCAGUUUCGACGGCCGGUCAAAGGCCCCCGGAAUGUGUCGUCUCUCGGGACGUCUUAUAGCCGGGGGUGCAAUGCGGCCCGUCGGGACUGAGGAACGCGCUCCGGCUCGGAUGCUGGCGUAAUGGCCGUAAGCGGCCCGUCUUGAAACACGGACCAAGGAGUCUAACAUCCACGCGAGUGUUCGGGUGUCAAACCCGUGCGCGCAGUGAAAGCGAACGGAGGUGGGAGCCUUAGGGCGCACCAUCGACCGAUCCUGAAGUCUUCGGAUGGAUUUGAGUAGGAGCGUGGCCGUUGGGACCCGAAAGAUGGUGAACUAUGCCUGAAUAGGGUGAAGCCAGAGGAAACUCUGGUGGAGGCUCGCAGCGGUUCUGACGUGCAAAUCGAUUCGUCAAAUUUGGGCAUAGGGCGAAAGACU